ensembl:lncRNA
GGGGCGGGAGGGCAGCGCGAUGUUUUAUAAAUUGUACAAUAAAGAAACAAAAUCUAAGAUGUUGGGAGUUUAUUUUUGCAGAGAGAGAGAGGGAAAAAAAACAAAUUAAUAAUAAUUAAGCAAACAAACCGGGAGGGGGGGGGGGGGGGAAGAGAUCAUAAUUAAAAAACCAACCAGAAAAAUGGCACCCCCCGAAACACCUCCACGACGAAUCCUCUUUGUGUCCGCCCGGGGCGGCCGCGGGGCCACGUGAGAGCCGGGCGGCGGCGGGGGCCACUCCGGGACCCCCCGGCAGCUCCGCUUUGUGCGCCUCUUUGCGAUGUACGGGGAGGAAAAAAGAAAAGAGGUAGAAAUGAAAACAUUUCAACUUUGUUUUCUCCCCCCCCUUCCCCCAUAGAAACGCGUGCGGUGUGACUUCAACCCCUCCCCGGCGCUGCUGCGGGGUUAUGGGGGUCACACGAGCGGGGGGAGCGAAAAGCGGGGCCGCCCCCUCCCCGCUGCUUUCCUUAACUUCAACUCUUCUGGCGUCGGCCUUCCAACCCCGCAAACCCGGCGUGCUUUGGGAGGAGGUUCGGCUCCCGCAGUCCCGUUCGUUUCCUAAGAGCGUUUCUUCUAUUUUUUUCCCUUUUCGGAAAGAAAAACCUUUUGUUGUAAAAAGGUGGGUUUUCUGGUCGUCGUCCCCCCCCCCGUGUGCGUGUUUCUGCCCGCUCCAACUUCACGGGAUCGGCGCUGCGUGGAGCUGAGGACGUCGCGUUGGGUUCGGUUCGGGGUUUUUGUUCGUUUGCUUUCCUCCUCCUUUUUUUUUUUUUUUGUUGUUGUUGUUGUCUCCCUUUUCUUUUAAUGCUGAUGCUUCCCUUUGUUUGUAACCUGUAUUUUUGUGCAGAUGGAAUUGUACGGCACCGGGUCCAACCGGUCAGAUUUGUUUAACAUUUAUAACCUUAAUAAAAAGUCGAUUAUAAAGUUGCUGCGCCCUCACUUUCCUCAUCGCCCCGCAGUCCCCUCCGUCCCCCCCCUCCCCCAUCCCCCCCGCGGCCCCCCGUUAUCCCCUCCUCGGGACCCCCCCG